rnacentral:rRNA from 1 species
AGACUGGAUAGGAAACAAAAAGGCAUCUUUUUGUUUUUAAAAGACCUUCUUACGAAGGUAUGCUUAAAGAGGGGCUUGCGCCACAUUAGUUAGUUGGUAGAGUAAAAGCCUACCAAGACGAUGAUGUGUAGCUGGACUGAGAGGUUGAACAGCCACAUUGGGACUGAGACACGGCCCAAACUCCUACGGGAGGCAGCAGUAGGGAAUUUUCGGCAAUGGAGGAAACUCUGACCGAGCAACGCCGCGUGAACGAUGAAGUAUUUCGGUAUGUAAAGUUCUUUUAUUGAAGAAGAAAAAGUAGUGGAAAAACUAUAUUGACGUUAUUCAAUGAAUAAGCCCCGGCUAACUAUGUGCCAGCAGCCGCGGUAAGACAUAGGGGGCGAGCGUUAUCCGGAAUUAUUGGGCGUAAAGGGUGCGUAGGCUGUUAGAUAAGUCUAUAAUUUAAUUUCAGUGCUUAACGCUGUCUUGUUAUAGAAACUGUCUUGACUAGAGUGAGAUAGAGGCAAGCGGAAUUCCAUGUGUAGCGGUAAAAUGUGUAAAUAUAUGGAGGAACACCAGAAGCGUAGGCGGCUUGCUGGGUCUUUACUGACGCUGAGGCACGAAAGCGUGGGUAGCAAACAGGAUUAGAUACCCUGGUAGUCCACGCCGUAAACGAUGAGUACUAAGUGUCGGGGUAAAACUCGGUACUGAAGUUAACACAUUAAGUACUCCGCCUGAGUAGUACGUACGCAAGUAUGAAACUUAAAGGAAUUGACGGGACUCCGCACAAGCGGUGGAUCAUGUUGUUUAAUUCGAAGAUACACGAAAAAUCUUACCAGGUCUUGACAUACUCUGCAAAGCUAUAGAAAUAUAGUGGAGGUUAUCAGGGAUACAGGUGGUGCAUGGUUGUCGUCAGUUCGUGUCGUGAGAUGUUAGGUUAAGUCCUAAAACGAACGCAACCCUUGUCGUUAAUUGCCAGCACAUAAUGGUGGGGACUUUAACGAGACUGCCAAUUAAACAUUGGAGGAAGGUGAGGAUUACGUCAAAUCAUCAUGCCCCUUAUGAUCUGGGCUACAAACGUGAUACAAUGGCUGUGACAAAGAGUAGCUGAAACGCGAGUUUUUAGCCAAUCUCAAAAAAGCAGUCUCAGUUCGGAUUGAAGUCUGUAACUCGACUUCAUGAAGUUGGAAUCGCUAGUAAUCGCGAAUCAGCAUGUCGCGGUGAAUACGUUCUCGGGGUUUGUACACACCGCCCGUCAAACCACGAAAGUUAGCAAUGCCCGAAAGCAGUAGCUUAACUUCGCAAGAAGAGGGAACUGUCUAAGGUAGGGUUGAUGAUGGGGGUUAAGUCGUAACAAGGACUCCC